AACAUAACCUUUAGCCAAACAAGUAUUAAAGGCAACGCCUGCCCAGUGAAUAUUAAACGGCCGCGGUACCCUAACCGUGCAAAGGUAGCAUAAUCAUUUGUCUACUAAUUAUAGACCUGUAUGAAUGGCAAAAUGAGGGCCCAACUGUCUCUUAUAAUAAACCAAUUAAACUGAUCUCCUAGUAAAAAAGCUAGAAUAACACCAUAAGACCAGAAGACCCUGUGAAACUUAAACUAAACUAUUAAAACAAAUAAUAACUAAUUUCGGUUGGGGCGACCUUGGAAAAAAAAAGAACUUCCAAACACACCAUACACACUGGCCAACAAGCCAUCAAAGACCCAGCACAGCUGACAAUUGAACCAAGCUACUCCAGGGAUAACAGCGCUAUCUUCUUCAAGAGCCCAUAUCAAAAAGAAGGUUUACGACCUCGAUGUUGGAUCAGGACACCCAAAUGGUGCAACCGCUAUUAAAGGUUCGUUUGUUCAACGAUUAAUGUCCUACGU
rnacentral:rRNA from 1 species